GACGUAGGGCGCGAGCGUUGUCCGGAUUUAUUGGGCGUAAAGAGCUCGUAGGCGGUCUGUCGCGUCGAUCGUGAAAACUUGGGGCUUAACCCUGAGCUUGCGGUCGAUACGGGCAUGACUGGAGUUCGGCAGGGGAGACUGGAAUUCCUGGUGUAGCGGUGAAAUGCGCAGAUAUCAGGAGGAACACCGGUGGCGAAGGCGGGGUCUCUGGGGCAACAACUGACGGCUGAGGAGCGAAAGCGUGGGGGAGCGAACAGG
rnacentral:rRNA from 1 species